GACGAACGCUGGCGGCGUGCUUAACACAUGCAAGUCGAACGAAGUGGCGAACGGGUGAGUAACGCGUAAUCAACCGGCCCUUCAGAGGGGGACAACAGUUGGAAACGACUGCUAAUACCGCAUACUGAAGGAGGGGAUUGCGUCUGAUUAGCUGGUUGGAGGGGUGACGGCCCACCAAGGCGAUGAUCAGUAGCCGGUCUUAGAGGAUGAUCGGCCACAUUGGGACUGAGGAACGGCCCAGAACCCCACGGGAGGCAGCAGUUGGGAAUCUUCCGCAAUGGACGGAAGUCUUACUGAGCAACGCCGCGUGAGGGAUGACGGCCUUCGGGUUGUAAAGCUCUGUUAUUCGGGACGCGGUACCGAAAUAGAAAGCCACGGCUAACUACGUGCCAGCAGCCGCGGUAAUUC
rnacentral:rRNA from 1 species